UACGAAGGGUGCAAACGUUGCUCGGAAUUAUUGGGCGUAAAGCGCACGUAGGCGGCAUCGCAAGUCCCAUGUGAAAGCCCACGGCUUAACCGUGGAAGUGCAUGGGAAACUGCAGUGCUUGAGUACUUAAGAGGAUCGCGGAAUUCCCGGUGUAGAGGUGAAAUUCGUAGAUAUCGGGAGGAACACCAGUGGCGAAGGCGCGAUCUGGGAAGAUACUGACGCUGAGGUGCGAAAGCGUGGGGAGCGAACAGG
rnacentral:rRNA from 1 species